UACGUAGGGGGCAAGCGUUAUCCGGAUUUACUGGGUGUAAAGGGAGCGUAGACGGCGGGGCAAGUCUGGAGUGAAAGGCCGGGGCCCAACCCCGGGAGUGCAUUUGAAACUGCCAUGCUGGAGUGCCGGAGAGGUAAGCGGAAUUCCUAGUGUAGCGGUGAAAUGCGUAGAUAUUAGGAGGAACACCAGUGGCGGAGGCGGCUUACUGGACGGUAACUGACGCUGAGGCUCGAAAGCGUGGGUAUCGAACAGG
rnacentral:rRNA from 1 species